AUUGAACGCUGGCGGCAUGCCUUACACAUGCAAGUCGAACGGCAGCACGGGAGCAAUCCUGGUGGCGAGUGGCGAACGGGUGAGUAAUGUAUCGGAACGUACCAUUGAGUGGGGGAUAACGUAGCGAAAGUUACGCUAAUACCGCAUAUACCCUGAGGGGGAAAGCAGGGGAUCGCAAGACCUUGUGCUCUUUGAGCGGCCGAUAUCAGAUUAGCUAGUUGGUGAGGUAAAGGCUCACCAAGGCGACGAUCUGUAGCGGGUCUGAGAGGAUGAUCCGCCACACUGGAACUGAGACACGGUCCAGACUCCUACGGGAGGCAGCAGUGGGGAAUUUUGGACAAUGGGGGCAACCCUGAUCCAGCCAUCCCGCGUGAGUGAAGAAGGCCUUCGGGUUGUAAAGCUCUUUCGGCCGGGAGGAAAUCGCAUCAGCUAAUACCUGGUGUGGAUGACAGUACCGGAAUAAGAAGCACCGGCUAACUACGUGCCAGCCGCCGCCGUAA
rnacentral:rRNA from 1 species